GUCUACGGCCAUACUACCUUGACCAAGUCUGAUCCUGUCUGAUCUCGGAAGCUAAGCAGGGUUGGGCCCGGUUAGUACUUGGAUGGGAGACCGCCUAGGAAGAUGGGGUGCUGUAGGCA
rnacentral:rRNA from 1 species